rnacentral:tRNA from 1 species
AGUUAAUGAACUUGUAUAAGUAUAUAUUUUGAAAAUAUAAUAAAAGGUAAAAUCCUUAUUAACUU